rnacentral:rRNA from 1 species
ACUCCUACGGGAGGCAGCAGUGGGGAAUAUUGCACAAUGGGCGCAAGCCUGAUGCAGCCAUGCCGCGUGUGUGAAGAAGGCCUUCGGGUUGUAAAGCACUUUCAGUAAGGAGGAAGGUUAGUAGUUAAUACCUGCUAGCUGUGACGUUACUUACAGAAGAAGCACCGGCUAACUCCGUGCCAGCAGCCGCGGUAAUACGGAGGGUGCAAGCGUUAUCCGGAUUCAUUGGGUUUAAAGGGUGCGUAGGCGGAACGGUAAGUCAGUGGUGAAAUCCUGCAGCUUAACUGUAGAACUGCCCAUUGAUACUGUCGUUCUUGAGAUGCGCUUGACGUGGGCGGAAUGUGCCGUGUAGCGGUGAAAUGCUUAGAUAUGGCACAGAACACCAAUUGCGAAGGCAGCUCACGAAAGCGAAACUGACGCUGAGGCACGAAAGCGUGGGGAUCGAACAGGAUUAGAUACCCUGGUAGGAUAGCGU